rnacentral:rRNA from 1 species
GGGAGUGGCAGACGGGUGAGUAACGCGUGGGAACAUACCCUUUCCUGCGGAAUAGCUCCGGGAAACUGGAAUUAAUACCGCAUACGCCCUACGGGGGAAAGAUUUAUCGGGGAAGGAUUGGCCCGCGUUGGAUUAGCUAGUUGGUGGGGUAAAGGCCUACCAAGGCGACGAUCCAUAGCUGGUCUGAGAGGAUGAUCAGCCACAUUGGGACUGAGACACGGCCCAAACUCCUACGGGAGGCAGCAGUGGGGAAUAUUGGACAAUGGGCGCAAGCCUGAUCCAGCCAUGCCGCGUGAGUGAUGAAGGCCUUAGGGUUGUAAAGCUCUUUCACCGAUGAAGAUAAUGACGGUAGUCGGAGAAGAAGCCCCGGCUAACUUCGUGCCAGCAGCCGCGGUAAUACGAAGGGGGCUAGCGUUGUUCGGAAUUACUGGGCGUAAAGCGCACGUAGGCGGAUAUUUAAGUCAGGGGUGAAAUCCCGCAGCUCAACUGCGGAACUGCCUUUGAUACUGGGUAUCUUGAGUAUGG